rnacentral:rRNA from 1 species
AAGAGACAGCAGUAGCCGCGGGAAUACAGAGGGUGCAAGCGUUAAUCGGAAUUACUGGGCGUAAAGCGCGCGUAGGUGGUUUGUUAAGUUGGAUGUGAAAUCCCCGGGCUCAACCUGGGAACUGCAUCCAAAACUGGCAAGCUAGAGUAUGGUAGAGGGUGGUGGAAUUUCCUGUGUAGCGGUGAAAUGCGUAGAUAUAGGAAGGAACACCAGUGGCGAAGGCGACCACCUGGACUGAUACUGACACUGAGGUGCGAAAGCGUGGGGAGCAAACAGGAUUAGAUACCCCCGUAGUCCCUGUCUCUUAUAC